rnacentral:rRNA from 1 species
AUUGAACGCUGGCGGCAUGCCUUACACAUGCAAGUCGAACGGUAACAGGUCUUCGGAUGCUGACGAGUGGCGAACGGGUGAGUAAUACAUCGGAACGUGCCCGAUCGUGGGGGAUAACGAGGCGAAAGCUUUGCUAAUACCGCAUACGAUCUACGGAUGAAAGCGGGGGAUCUUCGGACCUCGCGCGGACGGAGCGGCCGAUGGCAGAUUAGGUAGUUGGUGGGAUAAAAGCUUACCAAGCCGACGAUCUGUAGCUGGUCUGAGAGGAUGAUCAGCCACACUGGGACUGAGACACGGCCCAGACUCCUACGGGAGGCAGCAGUGGGGAAUUUUGGACAAUGGGCGAAAGCCUGAUCCAGCCAUGCCGCGUGUAGGAUGAAGGCCUUCGGUUUGUAAACUGCUUUUGUACGGAACGAAAAUCCUCUUUCUAAUAAAGAGAGGUCAUGACGGUACCGUAAGAAUAAGCACCGGCUAACUACGUG